rnacentral:rRNA from 1 species
AUUGAACGCGGGCGGCAGGCCGAACACAUGCCAGUCGAACGAGUGGCGCACGGGUGAGUAAUGUCUGGGCACCUGCCAGAUGGCGGGGGAUCACUACUGGAAACUGUCGCUACUACCGCCUACCAUCGGAUGUGCCCAGGUGGGAUUAGCUAGUAGGUGGGGUACCGGCGCACCUAGGCGACGAUCCCUAGCUGGUCGGAGAGGCUGACGAGCCACUCUGGGACGGAGACACGGUCCCGACUGCUACGGGCGGCAGCAGUGGGGAAGAUUGCACAAUGGGCGCAAGCCUGAUGCAGCCAUGCUGCGUGGAUGAAGAAGGCCUGCGGGUUGUAAAGCACUUUCAGCGAGGAGGCGUUACUCGCAGAAGAAGCACCGGCUAACGCCGUGCCAGCAGCCGCGGUAAUAC